AUGUUUUCUGGUGAUGACGUUCACCAGUCCAAAAAUCCGUGCUCCCACGUAAUGACGUCUAAGUGAAU
rnacentral:ncRNA from 2 species